CUAAAAAAUUAAAUGGCGUGAAGCAGAAGAAUUUGUUAAAUAUUAACAUCCCUGGUAAAGGGUUAGCAUAUCUAAUUAAAAGACAGAUGUACAAAACUGAAACUUUACCACUAAGCAUAGAAUUUGUUUCAGGUCAGACAACUGAAGAAAAUUAAAGACUAAUCUACUGAUCAAGUUGCAAUCAUAUGUAAAGAAAUUCAGAACCCGAAUCACAGCAAACAGCUGAGGAAUUAUAAAAUAAAAUAAAAUAAAACAA